rnacentral:rRNA from 1 species
GGGGUGCCUACGAGAGUAGGCCGCAGUGAAUAGGCUCAAGCAACUGUUUAUCAAAAACACAGGUCUCUGCUAAAGCGUAAGCUGAUGUAUAGGGGCUGACGCCUGCCCGGUGCUGGAAGGUUAAGGGGAAUAGUUAGCGCAAGCGCAGCUAUGAACUUAAGCCCCAGUAAACGGCGGCCGUAACUAUAACGGUCCUAAGGUAGCGAAAUUCCUUGUCGGGUAAGUUCCGACCCGCACGAAUGGCGUAAUGAUUUGAGCACUGUCUCGGCAAUAAAUCCGGUGAAAUUGUAGUGCAAGUGAAGAUGCUUGCUACCCGCGGUUGGACGGAAAGACCCCGUAGAGCUUUACUGUAGCUUAGCAUUGAAUUUCGGUAUUGUCUGUACAGGAUAGGUGGGAGACUUAGAAGCGAGGGCGUCAGCUUUCGUGGAGUCGUCCUUGGGAUACCACCCUGACAGUACUGGAAUUCUAACUGGAGGCCAUGAAUCUGGUCACAGGACAUUGCUAGGUGGGCAGUUUGACUGGGGCGGUCGCCUCCUAAAAGGUAACGGAGGCGCCCAAAGGUUCCCUCAGCGCGGUCGGAAAUCGCGCGUAGAGUGCAAAGGCAGAAGGGAGCCUGACUGCGACACAUACAGGUGGAGCAGGGACGAAAGUCGGGCUUAGUGAUCCGGUGGUUCUGUAUGGAAGGGCCAUCGCUCAACGGAUAAAAGCUACCUCGGGGAUAACAGGCUGAUCUCCCCCAAGAGUCCACAUCGACGGGGAGGUUUGGCACCUCGAUGUCGGCUCGUCGCAUCCUGGGGCUGUAGUCGGUCCCAAGGGUUGGGCUGUUCGCC